CUUAGGAUGAAUAGUUUUAUUUAAUUAUAUUUUCUAACUAAAUCUCUUUUCUCGGUCGCCGCUGUUCCAAAGACCUGAUCCACUAACCAGGAUUCCUUGGUUAGUUUGAAGUUGGAGCUGGUAAUGUUGUCGAAUGGCCAGUACUUCUGAUGCAGCAUUACUGGUUGUACUGUUGUGCUAAAUAGUCGAUGUUGCCUGGUGCCUGUCGGCUGCAUUUCGUUAAUGUGUUAACAACAGGAAUGUGAUUAUGAAAUGAUAGAAUAUCUGGGUUAACUAUAUUUGAAACAAGAGGAAGUCUAUGCUCCCAUAGUUACUGUCCAAUAAAGCAUGUUGUUGCAGCCAUCCUAUGCUGGUGAAAGAUCUUAAGUAAGUAAAACUGCGUCUUCCUUGGUGCUGGUUUGGUGUUUCGAAAAUUGUAUUGAAUAUUAUGUUAGAUUAUACUUGUGUCUGCAACUUACGUUAACCGUUUAUAUGAUAACUAGGAACAAAACAGCAAAUACGACGAAUUUUUCUUAAAAAAAUUUAUAUUAACGCGAUUGGGAAGAUGAUGAGAAAAUUAGGGAGAAUAUGUUUAUUUUCAUAAAUAUUGAGUAACAUGGUUAAUAAAUAAAAGGUUAUCAACUAG